UCCCUGGAGGACUAGUGGUUAGGCCACAGCACUCUCACUGCUAUGGCCUGGGUUCGAUUCCCGGCCAGGGAA
rnacentral:tRNA from 1 species